AUGGCUUCCAGGAUAUCAUUUUCACAGUACAAAUUAGAGGCAGAAAUAGAAAAAUGCAGAGGAGAGUGUCAAUGGGACAAAGUUCAAAACCUGGUGAAGCAACUGCCUCCCAAAACAUCGGAAAACGAUGAUUUUGGGAAUCUGCUUCUUGCUGAAGUUCUCUUGGAACAGUGCCUCAAGGAAAAUGCAGCCAGACUGAAAGAUUGCACUCCAAUAAUGGAAAAGAAUGAACCCAAAAUACGAGAAGCCAAGAAGUACUUGAGCAGUAUAUUAAACAGAGGCAAACUGCAACACAAUCUGAUGACUGAAGCCAUUCUUAUCUUAGCAAAACUGCAUUUUGUGGAGGGGUCAUAUCGCGAUGCGCUCAGCAUGUAUGCCCGAGUGGGAAUCGAUGACCUUUGUGUUGAAGAUGAACCAAUUUAUAAGAAAAGACUCUUAGCGGAAGCUUUUGUUAUUAAAGGCUUGUCCCUUGAGCGACAGGCUUCAUCUGUUACCUCACGAGUUCGUCUGUUCGAACGAGAGGAAGAGAUAAUGUCAUGUUUUGAAAAAGCUAGUGUUAUUGCUCUAGUAUACUUACAAGAAGAAGAACGGAUUAUGAUCAGCACUCAAUCUAGAGGUACGAAGGGAAAUGUGCCUGUUCAGGAAUUGGAGCUCACAUACUUUCUUGAAGCUGCAUUGCAAAGUGCUUAUGUGCAUUAUUUAAAAAAAGGGGACCUAGCCAAGGGAAUAAAACAAAUGCGGGAAAUAUUAAGAGCUAUGGAAACAAGACCCACACAGAAUUUCAGAAUGACAAUAGCCAAACAACUGGCUGGAGUACUUCUACGAAAUCUGUGUGAGGACAGUUAUUGGAAUCCAUUUUCAGAGCCACCUCCUGAUCUGAUCAAAAGUGAGAAAAAUGACCCUUUUCAGAUCGCACUAACCACUGGUCCUCAACUGUAUCAAGGAGACAAUCUCUUCUGCCCAGAGGACAUUGUUGAAGAAGCACUCCUACUUCUUCGUAUCAGUGAGUCAAUGGCAAAUCGAGAUGGUGUAAUAAGUCGUGCGCCAGAUCAGAGAGAGGACCGCAACAUCAGCUUCCAGAAUGCCACUGCCUUGUAUGAUCUCUUGACCAUAACUAUGGGCAGAAGGAAACAGUAUGAAAUGCUCUCAGAAUGCUUGGAGAGAGCAAUGAAGUUUGCAUUCGAUGAAUUUCACCUGUCGUAUCAAUUAGCACUUUCAUUGGUCGCUUGUGGCAAGUCAACUAGGGCCGUGUCCGCUCUUAGAGAAUGUGCAAAUCUCCAACUCAGUGAUCCAAGUAUACCACUCAUGGCUGCCAAGGUCUGCAUUGCACCUUUACACUGGCUUGAACAAGGAGAGUGGUUUUGCAAGAUUGUAACGACCAUGGGAGAAGAAGCGGGUGAAUUUCUCGGCAAGGGUUAUCUGGGCCUAGGGCUGGUCUACAGUCUCCAAGCUACAGAUGCUCCUCUAAGGAGCACCCGAGAUAAGCUCCACAAGAAAGCAUUGAAAGCUCUCAGAAGAGCUCACAGUUUGGAUAGUGAAGAUCAUCGAAUUGCUCUCUACCUUUCCUUGCAGUUGGCUUUCAACAGGCAGAUCUCUGAAGCUAUUGAACAAUUACAAGUGGCACUUAAACUCAGGAAUGAUGACAUGCAUUCUCUCCAUUUACUGGCGCUUCUGUUUUCUGCCCAAAAACAUUAUCAACGUGCUUUAGAGGUCAUCAACAUGGCAGUCAGUGAAUAUCCAGAAAAUUUCAGUUUAUUUUUCACUAAAGUCAAACUUGAAGCAGUUCAUACAGGACCAGAGGAAGCUCUUGAAACCUGCAGAAAUAUGUUGAACUUGUGGCAGACAACCCAUGCUGCGCAGUUCAGUGAUUGUGACAAAGAAAGCAGUAUGACUGAAAAACAGAGCACAGUUCGGAGUAGUUUGGUUGAGGGUGCAGCAACUGAGAAGCGAAACACUGUUCAUCUCAGUUUUCCUGAUUUUCACGAGGCUGAUGCAGGUUCUCUGCGUGUCCCAUCAAUUGCUGCUUCCCGAAUGGAACUGGCCAUGUCUGAAAUAUCUGCACAGAGCACUGCUGUGAAACAUGCCCCCAAGCAACUGACCAUUAUUCUGGAGCAGAUAUGGCUGCAAGCAGCUGAACUUUUUCUGGAACUACAAAGGACCAAAGACGCUUCCUUCUGCAUCCAAGAAGCAGCAAGUCUUUUCUCCAUGUCGCAUGAUGUGAUAUUCAUGCGUGGGAGGCUAGAAGAGAUGAGAGGCAAUUUGAGAGGAGCCAAGCACUUUUAUGAUGAGGCUCUUGUUAUAAAUCCAAGAAGUGCAAAGAUCAUGGAACAAUUGGGAAGGACACUGCACAAAAUGGGCCGGAAUAGUUUGGGAGAGAAGUUUCUGAGAGAUGCGGUUCAGGCUCAGGCAACAUCCCACGAGGCCUGGAACAGUCUGGGGGAGGUGCUGCAAGACCAAGGGAAAAAUGAAGAUGCUGCAGAAUAUUUUCUUACCGCAUUAGAGCUGGAAGCCAGCAGUCCCAUUGUUCCGUUUGCUGUCAUACCGAGAGAGCUUUGAGAUCAGUCAUGUGGGUCAAAUUGUAUGUUUUCCAAAGAUUUAAUUUGUUGACUCAUUGAGCAGAAAUCAGUUGCAAAAUAUCCAGGACAAUCAAUUCAGACUCCUUUUAACCAGUUUCCUAUUCGCUGCAAGUUCGCAAUGGCCUCCGUCAUGUCCUGCCAGCUCCUACUAGAAUCGGACAGAGUUUUUCCAUUCACAGCAAUUCUUAUGAGACACAUUGUGAGACAGUACCUUACACGGAAUAGUAUCCAGAGCGGGGCAUCAUUAUUCCACAGCAGAUGUAGUGGCAUCUUUCCAGAAUAGCCUGAGAUUGUUUACUGCAUGAAGGAGCUGAGAUGGAUUGCCCUCAAAUGGCAUGUACGUUGCAGUAUUACUGUUCUUAUUCCCUUUUCCCUGCACUGGAGAUCAGCCUUUCAUUGAGAGAGUUAUCAGGGACCCUCAUGCCGCAUGAUGUAAUCAUUAUUAAUAAUUUUGGCUAAAUCACUGCAGGUUAACUCAGAAUUCUCCAUUGAAUUUGUCAAUUUAUUUAAGAUCCUCAGGAAUUUUUAAUUUAGAAAAUGUGUAUGUUCUACCAUGAACAGUUUCAUGAGACAUAGAAUUUACUACUGUAAUAUUGACAUAUGUCUAUUUGUCUGAUCAUUAUUUAAGUGUGUAGUUGACAUUGCUGAGCCUUUUGGUCAGCUCUGCAGUACUUCAGCAAUGACUUGCCCUUAUUGGAUAAUGCAAUCAUCUUUUAUUUUACAACAGCCAUUGUUCAAUAUCUUGCGGUGAUUGUAACAAGGUAAGCCAGAUGGCCAUCAUAGAAUAUGAGUUCCCUGAUUGGGGCUGUUAAUCUGGUCCCAUCAGGGAAUCCUGGCUGACAGGUAUAAUGGGUAUCUAAGGUUCUGUUCAAUCUGAGAGCUGGCUCUGACAAAGCCAACCAGUGUGUAUUAUACUUGUGUAAAUCAAGGGUAACUUGGUGACGGGAAAACAGCCUCUGUGGACUUAUUACUGUGAUAAUGAGAGAAAAAAAAUGCUCCUGAAGAAAUUUGAUGGCAACAGUCAUCUUUUGAGUUGGGCUUAGCCUUUCUGGCAUCAUGCCUUUAUUUGGGAAGCUUAACUCAUUUGAUCCUGUCAUCAAAGACUGGGCCUAGUAUGUGGAAAGAAUGUGUUUUUUUUUUGGGAAAAUGAUAUCGGGGCAGAUGAAAAGGCACCAGAUACUGAAACCUUUCAAGAGUUGACGUAUUUAGUUAAGGAAUAUUAAACCCCAGGUCCAGUCUAUAUCUGAGAUGCUAUCGGUUUUACUCAGCAAUUUAAGAACGAGGGGACUCUGUACUGGAAUUUUUUGACAAGGUUAAGAUGAUGGGCAAAGGCAUGUGACUUUGGUUUAACCCUUAAUCAGAUUCUGAGAGACUGUUUGAUAUGUGGGUUUAAUGAUAUAGCCGUGCAAAUGCACUACUAAUGAAGCCCAAUUGGACUUCAGACAGGCACUACCACUGGCUUUAUCAUCAGAAAGGGUGACAAGUGGAGCAUAUUGGUUACAGGGUAUGCCGAUAGUAAUGAAGACCCUCACCAGGCCAACUGAACACCACUUGAGAGAAUGCAGUUGCAUAGCCUCAUUCAGGGCAUAUCAUUCAGGACUCAAAGCUGAAAAUGUGUUGCUGGAAAAGCGCAGCAGGUCAGGCAGCAUCCAAGGAACAGGAAAUUCGACGUUUUGGGCAUAAGCCCUUAAAAAGCUCUGAUCUCCAGCAUCUGCAGUCCUCACUUUCUCCCCAGAGGGACUCAAAGUCAGCCCACAGCCAAACCGGAAAACAAAGCCAAGCCUUGGCCAAAUGGUUAAAAUUUUCUUAAGGAUCUUGUCCGGCAAGCCACUGUAGUUGCUGUCGGUGUGCGGACUUGAGACAGCAAAAGAGUUCCGUGGGACCUAAAUUGAGGAAGAAAACUUAUAUGCCAAUAUCUGUGAAGAGUGCGCACCCUGGAAAGUCCACCUAUAUCUGACUUGGAGCAGUAAAGAAGAAUAUGCCAAAUGGAAAUAACAUACCGAAGUAGGAGGCAUUUAAAUAUCGAAGACAAAUACAGAAAAGAUGAGAUGCCUGUCACACCCCAGAGAAUUGCAACAAUAGACGUCACCUCAUAGUUCUCAUGCUUAGGGGAUAUUUAUAUAAAUUUAAUGUCUGUUUGUAAUACAGGGGAAGCACUGAAUUGCGCUAUUUAGCCACACCUUAGUCACUGUCUGUUUACUGGAAAAAAUAAAACUUUAAAAUGUUUAUUGAGUAAUAACUGACAAAUCAAUCACAAUCUCUGGAUGACGGAAAAGGGAAGUAGCAGUGGAAACAGGAAAUUAAAACUGUCUGAUUUGACCACUGUGCUCCGAGGUUGAUUAGCAUCAGCUUGCGAUUUUUUGUUUAAAAUACAAUUGACUGUUGAUUUGUGUGAAGUCACACAGGCAGCCCAUGCCACAGUAUGGGUUUCAUUUUGCGGCAGGAGCUGAAGGCUUAACCUCAUUCUCUUUCACCAUAUUAAGCAACAACUUGAACUAUUACUGAGAGUCAAGGAAUUUCCUGGUGUAAUUUUGAAUGCGUAUAAUUAGCUCGUCUCAGGGGACACUUUCAUAGUUUUGGGACCCGUUCAUUGAUAUGAUCAACGGAGGUGGAUUGGUAAUACUGUGCAUUAUAAAUGUUUUCCCUAUAAUGUAAAGCUAACUACCACCAAAAAUAAUGCAUUGAAAAAAACAACUCUCAGUGCAGUGAAGCAGCACAAAAGCUUUGCUUCUGCUGUAGACUUGCUGAACUGUGAGCUGGUUUUGCUGUGAGUCUGUCUGUUUACAUUGCACAUCACUGGCUGCAGCACAAACAGAAUCACGUACAUGCAGUUGCUCAGUGGUUGUAUUUGCACCUGUGGAGUGUUCCGUAAUGUGUUUAAAAAAAAGAUGUGAACCGUCUAGAAGUGUGAAAGGUACACAUUUCAAACUCAGGCUAGCAAAUCUUGUAGCAUUCAGUCUGAGCAAGUCCAGUUUCAUGUUAGCCCUGUACAGGAAUUGGCUGUGAGAGACUCUGAGGGUGCUGGCACGGCUGCAAAAUAGUAAGGACAAUUUUCAUGAAAUAAUUUUAUCGCUGAACUUGUCCAAACUCCAAAGCAUGAAGCCAGAUCUUUUCUGCCAAUUAAAAAGCAGCUGAUUGGAUUUAAUUUUCAGAUAAUAAAAGUCAGGCAAUCAGAUUCACUAUAUUACAGAUUCACUUGAAAAACAGUUACUGGUCAUGGAUACUUACAGACACAGAUCUUUGGUUCACAUAAUGUAGAGUUGUUUCUUUCGGCUUCCCUUCUGACCCAGCCAUAAGCCUGUUGAAUGGCAGAGCAAGUUCAAGGGGCUGAAUGGCCUCCUCCUGUUCCUAUUGCUUAUGGUCUUAUUUCUUCAGCUGGUUCUAAAUGUCUGUUAAUUGUAAGAUUUACUAUUUAUAAGUUAGAGCUAUAAUUUGGGGAAGGUGAGAUAUAAAAUUCAACUGAGCUAAGGGGACUGAUUUUCAGAAUUUAGUGGGAGAUAAGGAAAUGGGCCUUACUUCAUUUUCAUGCCUUACAUAUGCCACUAGCAUAGUAGUUAAAUUUGAAUUACUGAAAGAUUCUAAUUUAAUCUGGAGAAAAAAAAUUAGCUAUGAGCCUGGUUUUGUUUCUAAUUCCAUGAGUUUAUCUUAAAUCAUAACUCAUAUCAAUAACCAAUCAGCAAAAUUCAUUAACCAUUAUGAAAUUUGUGAUCAUUUAAAAGAUCCAAAUGGACUAUUCUGAACUGCUGGGAGGAGGGGACUGCUUCUUCAGUAAUGGAUAAUGAUUAUUGUGGGCAUUCACCAAGCUGAUAAUCUUGCACAUUUUAUUUAGGCGAUGGAUUGUAGUAGACUUAAAUAGAAGUGCUCCAGUGUAGAUGUUCUAUGGUUCACUUACAAACUGCAGAAGGAUCAGCUGAUGUGAAGAUUUAUGUUUCACAUAUCUCUUUCCCAUUUGUUAAGAAUCAACUGUAUUUUUAGAAAUUCUUUUUUAGGAAAACUGUCAUUUCACUUCAUUACAGUUCACAUUAAUUAGUUCACAUUCACAUGGUACUCUUCCACUCAGUGUCAGACACUCUUCUGCAUUGUCCACAAUUAAUGACCAUCUAAAGUUUGUCAAGACUAAAAACAGCAUUUUAAUUUUUUGUAAUUGUAACUUAGUGACUGGCGGUGUCAGUUUAAAGAUCAAUUGAUGCUAUGAAAUAGCAUCCUUGCCUAAGCCCCCACAGUCUUUUGAACAGUGACACAAUAUUUACUUGGGUUUCAGUUUCACGUUUCCCACACAGGGUGUAAGUUGUCCAGAAUCUGCAGCAGGAACUCAGGCGGCUCAAUUAUUAAUUCACACUGUGCACCAGUCUAGAAAGUACUACUGGCUUGGCACAUUGCAAAAGUGACUUAUGCCAGGGGAGAUGUAUGCUGAUAUUUUCUUCCAACCACUUGAGACACUUUGUCCUAUAAAUCUUUUAUGUCUGUGCCUCAAAAAAAUGUAUUUGAAAUAGCAAUUGAUUCAUAUACUGUCGAAGAUACCAGAACUUUAGAGAUUGCAUAUGCAGUAUUAAGUAAUUUAUUUUAAAUGUUCACUUUAUUUCUGGGAAAGGAAGCUGAUUUUUAAAAUUAGUUUUACAGUGAAGAUACCAAUGUUAAAUAAUUAAAUGGAGCUGUGUCAGAGUACAUGUUUGCAUAAUACAAAGAUGGAUAUUUACUUUGCCAUGAAUAAAUGGACUUCAGCUUGUUGGUUUUAUAAUAUGCUCAGUGCACUGAAUUAUAGCAAAUGAGUAAGACUCCAGCAUAUAAACUCACCCAACAUCUAUUAAAUGU